GGCUUUUUGAUAAUAAUUUAAAGUUUGACCUGCCCACUGAAUUAUUUUAAAUGGCCGCAGUAUUUUGACUGUGCAAAGGUAGCAUAAUAAUUAGUUUUUUAAUUAAGAACUGGUAUGAAUGGUUGGACGAGAAAGGGACUGUCUCUAUUUAAUUUAAUUAGAAUUUUAUAUUUAAGUAAAAAAGCUUAAAUAAUUUUAAAAGACGAGAAGACCCUAUAGAGUUUUAUAUUUAAUAUAAUUUUAUAUUUUUAGUAUAUUUUAUUUUAAUUUUAUAUUAAAUAUUUUGUUGGGGUGACAGAAAAAUUGAAAAAACUUUUUUUUUAUUAAACCAUUAAUUUAUGAAUAAAUGAUCCAUUAUUUAUGAUUAUAAGAUUAAAUUACCUUAGGGAUAACAGCGUAAUAUUUCUUGAGAGUUCUAAUCGAAAGAAGAGUUUGCGACCUCGAUGUUGGAUUAAAAUUAACUUUUGGUGUAGAAGCUAAAAAUGUUAGGUCUGUUCGACCUUUAAAAUUUUACAUGAUCUGAGUUUAAACCGGCGUGAGCCAGGUUGGUUUCUAUCUUUAAAAAAAAAAAA
rnacentral:rRNA from 1 species